GGUGGUGUCACGUGAUACUGAAGUAUAUUAUCGUGGACUUAGCAUAUUAAUAUUCUUUUUAGAGGGGACGUAGGACAGACAACAUGUGUAUAUAUUGACGGAGCGGCGUAUUAACUGUUCAAUUUAUUCUUCAAUAGCUCGCGUAUCAUACAAUACAUGUAACUUAUCGUGUACAAUUUAAUUACAUGUUUAUCGAUUGAUUUCAGCUAAUGUGUAUAUUUUAGCAGGUGUGUCAUUCACGGAUAUGUACUUUAACGCAAGUGCAGAAAUGUCAGGGCACCACUGGCAACAUUCACACAAAGUUUCAUAAGGCUGGCUCUUAUAACAAAAGAUUUAAAAUUUUGAAAUUUUUUCACAUUUUUGCAGUUUCCAUGGUAACGGCAGCCAUUUUUUACCAGUCUUAUGUCUCUUGCACAUCUUAACAUGGCAGUUCAUAUUAUGGUAUUGUUCCAUCGACAUGGGUCUGGCCGAUUCCGAGAAAUAGCGUGGACAAAAUGUGUGGAAGAAUAAAAAUAAUAAUAAAAAGAAAAAAAAGAAACGUAGAAUAACAAUAUGUCACCCCAACUCCGUUGAGGGUGCCAUAACUAGAUUUGUAAUUGCUAGCAAUAACGGAUGGCACCCUUCCCCUAUUGCCAGGUGAGCGGCGGCCAUUUAGAAAAUUCCAAACUCAAAAGUCAAGUCUACAUAAGCUAGGCAACAUUUGUUAUAAGUUUCCUUAAAUUUGAAGCAUUUUGAAGUUUUUCAUAUUUUUGCUGUUUCCAUGGUAACGGCGGCCAUUUUGAAUAUUCCAAAGUCAAACCCCUGCUGCAAUUUUUUGCCCUCCAUAAUAUCAUAUACCAUUUAAU
rnacentral:lncRNA from 1 species